rnacentral:rRNA from 1 species
AUGCCAGUGCUCAGCAUGCUUGAGUACAUUUUCUAUAAGAUGAUGAACAGGAUUGUUAGCAAACAAAGAGAAGCUAUUGAAAAGUGGGCAGGCCAGAGAAUAUGUCCCAAGAUCAAGAAGAAGUUAGAUAAGAACACAGAGUUUGCUGCUAACUGCCAUGUAACAGAAGCUGGUCAGCAAAUCUUCAGAGUUCAGUCUGGUAACAAUAGCUACACUGUGGACCUCUGCUUGUACACUUGUGAUUGCAGGAGAUGGCAGUUAUCUGGAGUACCAUGUGGCCAUUCCAUAGCAUGUUGCAGGGAGGAGAGAAUUGACCCAGAGACACUGGUCCAUGAGUGCUAUACUGUUCAGACAUAUCUGAAAGCUUAUGGAUACACUCUUGUCCCUCUUGCAGACCCUAAGGAGUGGGAGAAACAGAAUGGCUAUAAGGUGUAUCCACCAGUGUUCACCAAACAGUUGGGUAGACCCAAGAAAAACAGGAAAAAGACACCAGAGGAGAAGAUCAAGAAUGGUGUUAGGGUUUUGAACAAAAAAGGUGCUACAAUGCACUACUCUAUUUGUGGGAGGGCUGAUCACAACAGAAAGGGGCAUUACAGAUGGCAGGAGGCUCUCAUUGCAGAAGGGGUAGAGGAGGUUGAUGAGAACUAUGAUGACCCAACAUUUCUUCAGGUGCAUGCAUUUUACUACAUUUCACUGCAUUUCACUGCAUUUUACUGA